AUUGAACGCUGGCAGAAGGCCUAACACAUGCACGUCGAACGAGUGGCGGACGGGUGAGGAAUACAUCGGAAUCUGCUCUGUCGAGGGGGAUAACUUCGGGAAACUUUCGCUAAUACCGCAUACGAUGGAAUGUGCCGAGAUGGGAUUAGCUAGUUGGGGGGGUAACGGCUCACCAGGGCGAAGAUCCGUAGCUGGUCUGAGAGGAGGACCGUCCAAACGUGAACGGAGACACGGUCCAGACUCCUACGGGAGGCAGCAUUGGGGAAUAUUGGACAGUGGGCGCAAGCCUGAUGCAGCCAUACCGCGUGUGUGAAGAAGGCCUUCGGGUUGUAAAGCCCUUUUGGUGGGAAAGCGGUACCCAAAGAAGAAGCACCGGCUAACUUCGUGCCAGCAGCCGCGGUAAUAC
rnacentral:rRNA from 1 species